UGGGGAAUCUUGCACAAUGGGGGCAACCCUGAUGCAGCGACGCCGCGUGAGCGAUGAAGCCCUUCGGGGCGUAAAGCUCUUUCGACCGGAACGAUAAUGACGGUACCGGGAGAAGAAGCUGCGGCUAACUACGUGCCAGCAGCCGCGGUAAUACGUAGGGUGCCAGCGUUAAUCGGAAUUACUGGGCGUAAAGCGUGCGCAGGCGGUUCGGAAAGAGAGAUGUGAAAUCCCAGGGCUUAACCUUGGAACUGCAUGUUUAACUCCCGGACUAGAGUAUGUCAGAGGGGGGUGGAAUUCCACGUGGAGCAGUGAAAUGCGUAGAUAUGUGGAGGAACACCGAUGGCGAAGGCAGCCCCCUGGGAUGAUACUGACGCUCAUGCACGAAAGCGUGGGGAGCAAACA
rnacentral:rRNA from 1 species